ensembl:piRNA 21ur-4382 ncRNA
UGGAUCGCGGAAAUAUGCAAA